rnacentral:rRNA from 1 species
UACGGGGGGGGCAAGCGUUGUUCGGAAUUACUGGGCGUAAAGGGCUCGUAGGCGGCCAACUAAGUCAGACGUGAAAUCCCUCGGCUUAACCGGGGAACUGCGUCUGAUACUGGAUGGCUUGAGUUUGGGAGAGGGAUGCGGAAUUCCAGGUGUAGCGGUGAAAUGCGUAGAUAUCUGGAGGAACACCGGUGGCGAAGGCGGCAUCCUGGACCAACACUGACGCUGAGGAGCGAAAGCCAGGGGAGCGAACAGG